CAGCGCUUUACAGUGGGUGGACGAACAAAUAUGUAGUUGUAACCAGACAAGUUGGACACACAGGAACAGAGGGGUUGAGGGCCCUGCUCAAUGAGCUUACAUACUAGAGGGAGUAGGGUAAAGUGACACAAAAGGUAAGGUUAGUAUUAGACUAACAAGAAAAUAGAAAGAUGGGUGAAUGAACAAUAGCGAUGGAUAUAAACCAAGUGCAGGCCAGCCAGUAUUAGACUAAUGACAAUUGCAAGAGAGGAAUCAGUCAGGAGCUAUUAACAGUUUA